GGCUGGUCUGAUUGUAGUGGGUUAUUAGAACUCAUUAACAUUAGUGUCACUAAAGUUAACAUAUACCCUCCUACUGCUAAAUUGGCUUAAA
rnacentral:Y_RNA from 1 species